AGAAACUUAGGAUAAUUAAAACCGAAGGCCUUCAAAGCCUUAAACAAGAGUUAGACCCUCUUAGUUUCUG
rnacentral:tRNA from 1 species